rnacentral:tRNA from 1 species
UCCCCUGUAGCUCAGCGGUAGAGCAAACGACUGUUAAUCGUAAGGUCGCAGGUUCGAAUCCUGCCGGGGGAG